rnacentral:rRNA from 1 species
GGGGAGCCCUAGCACAGGUGCUGCAUGGCCGUCGUCAGCUCGUGCCGUGAGGUGUGGGUUAAGUCCCGCAACGAGCGCAACCCCCGCCGUUAGUUGCCAGCGGUUCGGCCGGGCACUCUAACGGGGACUGCCCGCGAAAGCGGGAGGAAGGAGGGGACGACGUCUGGUCAGCAUGGCCCUUACGGCCUGGGCGACACACGUGCUACAAUGCCCACUACAAAGCGAGGCCACCCGGCAACGGGGAGCUAAUCGCAAAAAGGUGGGCCCAGUUCGGAUUGGGGUCUGCAACCCGACCCCAUGAAGCCGGAAUCGCUAGUAAUCGCGGAUCAGCCAUGCCGCGGUGAAUACGUUCCCGGGCCUU